rnacentral:lncRNA from 1 species
CAAGUCCAAAAACAUGUUAUCAAGUUUUCUUACAAAGCUCAUGUUAGUUUAUUGCAUCUGUAGCUUACAGAUAAGACAAACACAGGCACAAUGUGAGGAAGAGCGCGAACACUAGUACAAAUAAAGUGUGGGCUUUAAGGAAGAACAGAUAAGACAAACACAGGCAAAAUGUGAGGAAGAGCGCAACCACUAGUAUAAAACCUCCAUAAAUAACUGAAGUCCUAUAGCAGAGUUUGAGCAAAACGGAAGUUAGAAUGCAGACACUUAAUAUUAAGUUUACAUUAACAACUGAACCCCGUAUAAGCGCGAGCUUGUUUACUUAAGGUUUAGAAUCUAACAUGAAAGUAGGGGCAAAGAGUUGAUUAACUGGAUUCUGACUAGUGAAUCGCAAUAGAAGCAUUUCAAGAAGCAAUUUGCCAUGGACAGGGACACCAGAUCCACAUGUACACCAUAAGAUCACAAAU